ACAGGAGCAGCUUAGAGAACUCGUUGAAGCCACGCCGAAGGGUGCCCUCCCUCUGGCUUUUAUACUCUAAGGGCAUUCGGUAUAAAGCCAACCUGAUCACCAUGAAUAUAAUUUCCAAUGAAUAAAUUGAGUCGUUCUGCCAAUAUGGAGGAGAUACAGCGUAGUGUCAUAGGUGAAUGACACCAGUACUUUUGUUUUAAAAACAGAAGAUUUUUUUGGAUUUUAUGAGUCUCUAAAGAGUCCACUGCUUUACGUUCAUGUAGUAAUUGUUUAUAAAAUUUUUUACUGCCCCUUUCCUUAUGUAAACACUCUAGGUGUUGAAUUUUAUCCAAAAUGUUUUGUCUUUUGAAGCUUUCUCUUUUUAUUUAAAUAAGCUGAUAAUGCUAUUAAUUGGCCCCUUAACACUACUUUAAGAGCAUCCCAUAUUAUCUGUGGGGAGAUUGUCUCUGUUUGAUUGUCUUUAAGAUAUUGAUUGAUAUAUUGUUCAAUUGUUGUAACAUU